rnacentral:rRNA from 1 species
UACGUAGGGGGCAAGCGUUGUCCGGAUUUAUUGGGCGUAAAGAGCGUGUAGGCGGCCAGGUAGGUCCGCUGUGAAAACUCGAGGCUCAACCUCGAGAUGUCGGCGGAAACCAUCUGGCUAGAGUCCGGAAGAGGAGAGUGGAAUUCCUGGUGUAGCGGUGAAAUGCGCAGAUAUCAGGAAGAACACCCGUGGCGAAGGCGGCUCUCUGGGACGGUACUGACGCUGAGGCGCGAAAGCUAGGGGAGCAAACAGG